UUUGAACGCUGGCGGCAGGCCUAACACAUGCAAGUCGAGCGGAUGAGAGGAGCUUGCUUCUCGAUUCAGCGGCGGCCGGGUGAGUAAUGCUUAGGAAUCUGCUUGGUAGUGGGGGACAACGCUUCGAAAGGAACGCUAAUACCGCUUACGUCCUACGGGAGAAAGCAGGGGACCUUCGGGCCUUGCGCUAUCAGAUGAGCCUAGGUCGGAUUAGCUAGUUGGUGAGGUAAUGGCUCACCAAGGCGAAGAUCCGAAACUGGUCUGAGAGGAUGAUCAGUCACACUGGAACUGAGACACGGUCCAGACUCCUACGGGAGGCAGCAGUGGGGAAUAUUGGACAAUGGGCGAAAGCCUGAUCCAGCCAUGCCGCGUGUGUGAAGAAGGUCUUCGGAUUGUAAAGCACUUUAAGUUGGGAGGAAGGGUUGUAGAUUAAUACUCUGCAAUUUUGACGUUACCGACAGAAUAAGCACCGGCUAACUCUGUGCCAGCCGCCGCCGUAAAAC
rnacentral:rRNA from 1 species